rnacentral:rRNA from 1 species
UACAGAGGGUGCGAGCGUUGUCCGGAAUCACUGGGCGUAAAGGGCGCGUAGGUGGCGCUCCAAGUCCAUGGUGAAAGCUCGAUGCUCAACAUCGAGUCGGCCACGGAUACUGGGGGGCUCGAGCACUGUAGAGGCAGAUGGAAUUCCGGGUGUAGCGGUGGAAUGCGUAGAGAUCCGGAAGAACACCGGUGGCGAAGGCGGUCUGCUGGGCAGUUGCUGACACUGAGGCGCAAAAGCGUGGGGAGCAAACAGG